UGCAAUAUAAAAGUGGGCGCUUGGGCGACGUUCUCUCUUUUCCUGACGUCCGUGUGUUAAGAGGAAGUUGGAUGGCACUGGACCUAGGAGUUAGUUAGUUAGUUUUCGGCAGCAUGGCUGUUUAUUUAAAAUGUAAUUAUGUGCGCUUUCAACAAAGUGCGACUGGAUAGGUUAGUGAGAUGCGCGGACUUAGGAUAGUUUAGCGGUUUUCUAAAUGAAUAUGAUGUCGACUGACUGUGUGCUGUGCACCACGUGGUCGAAGUGGCCGGAGGUCCUGGUGCAUACUGGACAUAUGAUGGGGUGUCUUUGUCUGCCAAAGGAAAAUAGAGGUCCACUGUUCUGAGGAGGUGUCUUCAGCUGGAGGUCCUGGGUACAUCUUCAGUGUUGUGGUUAAUUGCAGGGAAUCUCUAAUUGUGCAAUAAAGCUAACUUUAAAUGCCA
ensembl:lncRNA